GACGAACGCUGGCGGCGUGCUUAACACAUGCAAGUCGAACGGAAAGGCCCUGCUUGCAGGGUACUCGAGUGGCGAACGGGUGAGUAACACGUGGGUGAUCUGCCCUGCACUUCGGGAUAAGCCUGGGAAACUGGGUCUAAUACCGGAUAGGAGCCAUUUUUAGUGUGAUGGUUGGAAAGUUUUUUCGGUGUAGGAUGAGCUCGCGGCCUAUCAGCUUGUUGGUGGGGUAAUGGCCUACCAAGGCGGCGACUGGUAGCCGGCCUGAGGGGGUGGACGGCCACAUUGGGACUGAGAUACGGCCCAGACUCCUACGGGAGGCAGCAGUGGGGAAUAUUGCACAAUGGGCGCAAGCCUGAUGCAGCGACGCCGCGUGGGGGAUGACGGCCUUCGGGUUGUAAACUCCUUUCGCUAGGGACGAAGCUUUUUGUGACGGUACCUAGAUAAGAAGCACCGGCUAACUACGUG
rnacentral:rRNA from 1 species